rnacentral:rRNA from 1 species
GGGGAAUAUUGCACAAUGGGGGAAACCCUGAUGCAGCGACGCCGCGUGGAGGAAGAAGGUCUUCGGAUUGUAAACUCCUGUUGUCGAGGAAGAUAAUGACGGUACUCAACAAGGAAGUGACGGCUAACUACGUGCCAGCAGCCGCGGUAAAACGUAGGUCACAAGCGUUGUCCGGAAUUACUGGGUGUAAAGGGAGCGCAGGCGGGAGAACAAGUUGGAAGUGAAAUCCAUGGGCUCAACCCAUGAACUGCUUUCAAAACUGUUUUUCUUGAGUAGUGCAGAGGUAGGCGGAAUUCCCGGUGUAGCGGUGGAAUGCGUAGAUAUCGGGAGGAACACCAGUGGCGAAGGCGGCCUACUGGGCACCAACUGACGCUGAGGCUCGAAAGUGUGGGUAGCAAACAGGAUUAGAUACCCUGGUAGUCCACACCGUAAACGAUGAUUACUAGGUGUUGGAGGAU